GAGAAGUGAAAAAUAAGGCUCAUCAUUAUUGUCCUCAAAAAGUUACACAAUUUUCAGUGAAAAAUAAAUAAUAUUACUGUCUUAAAAAUUAUAAAAAAAAUAUUCAUAAGCAAAAGAUGUUUUAAAAAGUCCUACGUUUUGCGUCUAUCACUAAUUCCGAUUUGUGUAAAGUUGCUAUAAGCAAUUUUUUCUAUGCAAUCAACAUCAUCAAAGUACUAAAUAUUUAAACAUUUGAUACACAAAUUUACAAACUACAUCCCAUAAAAGUAAUUUUUGUCUCUAACCAAAACAAAUAAACUUUCUUUUUAUUUCUCAUACUACUUUUCAGAUCUAAUUAUAAAUAAGAUUACUUUUGAGAUAAAAAAAUAAUAAAUAUCAGAACAGUAUAAAUUAUAAAUAUCAAGAAAGGUUUUUGCUUCAUGUAUUUUGGAUACAGCUUCAUAAAUUCAUAAAUUCUUCUAUGUUAUACUAAGAUAUACCAAAUCUGCAACCUGUCCAUUUUUUUUUGUGAUAUAUCCAAAUAAAACAUUUUCUAAUAUUAUUCUGAACCUUUUUAGACAAGCACGAAGAUGCCUUAGAAUUUUAAAUUAAGAAAUAUUUUUUAAAAAUUUCUAGAAUUUCAAAAUAUCAUUAUAAGUAAAAUCAUUUUGAUUAUCAGUUUAUAAGAAAUUAUUGUGCUGUUAGCAUCUCUAAAAUUAAGUAAAAAAAUUUUAAAAUUGAAAACUAGUAUUAUAAAAACUAUAAAAUUAGAAUAUAUAAUACAGAAAUAUCGCCAUAAAAAGGCAUAUAUCCUAAAGGAUUGAAGAUAGAAGAGACCAAUAAAAUUCAAAAUGUGUUGCGGAUGUGGCUGCCCUAGAAUAACCAUCUAUACAUGUUGUACGAAGAUUUGUUGAUGAUAAAAUGUGAAAAUGUGGUUGUCUGUAUGGUGAAUAGUGGCUAAUGUUUAAUAAAUGCUAAAUUUUU